rnacentral:rRNA from 1 species
AGAGUUUGAUCAUGGCUCAGAACGAACGCUGGCGGCGCGCCUAAUACAUGCAAGUCGAGCGAGAAGGUGUAGCAAUACACUUGUAAAGCGGCAAACGGGUGAGGAAUGCUUGGGUGACCUACCCUCGAGUGGGGAAUAACCAGCCGAAAGGUUGGCUAAUACCGCGUACGCUUCCCGAUUCACGGAUCGGGAAGAAAAGUCGGGCCGAGGGCUCGGCGCUCUUGGAUGGGCUCAUGCCCUAUCAGCUUGUUGGUGAGGUAACGGCUCACCAAGGCUACGACGGGUAGCUGGUCUGAGAGGACGAUCAGCCACACUGGCACUGCGACACGGGCCAGACUCCUACGGGAGGCAGCAGUAAGGAAUAUUGCGCAAUGGGCGAAAGCCUGACGCAGCGACGCCGCGUGGGGGAUGAAGGUCUUCGGAUUGUAAACCCCUUUCGGGAGGGAAGAUGGAACGAGCAAUCGUUCGGACGGUACCUCCAGAAGCAGCCACGGCUAACUUCGUGCCAGCAGCCGCGGUAAUACGAAGGUGGCAAGCGUUGUUCGGAUUUACUGGGCGUACAGGGUGCGUAGGCGGUCCAAUAAGCCUCCUGGGAAAUCUUCAGGCCUAACCUGGAAAGUUCGGGAGGGACUGUCGGGCUAGAGGACGGGAGAGGAGCGCGGAAUUCCCGGUGUAGCGGUGAAAUGCGUAGAGAUCGGGAGGAAGGCCGGUGGCGAAGGCGGCGCUCUGGAACGCUCCUGACGCUGAGGCACGAAAGCGUGGGGAGCAAACAGGAUUAGAUACCCUGGUAGUCCACGCCCUAAACGAU